rnacentral:lncRNA from 1 species
AACGGGCUUGCCUAAUAUGACCAAAAGGCCCUGAGUUCAUUCAAUUCUCUACUUCCACCAAAUAAAACAGAAACCCGAUAAAAGGAGACAGAAGAUGUAUCCACCAAAAAUCCAACCCUGGGCUAGGAGUGGUGGUGUUCACCUGUCAUCAGGGUACUUGGGAGCUUGAGGCAGAGGACAUGCGCCUCCUCCCUCAGUGCUGCACAACUGGAGCACCCAGAUUCAGUCGAUGGGAGAAGAGCCCCCUU